rnacentral:misc_RNA from 1 species
CAUUCACCCAAUCAAAAUAUUUUAAGGCCACCGCAUUGUGUAUAGUUAUGUAACAACCUGUAAGCGUCGGGUGAUGAUGUUCAUUUUUUUCCCCAGAUAUUAUCAGCAAUCAUUUUGAAAGAGUCGGUCUCAAAGAAGCAAGCCGACUCGUCAGUCGGUUGGUUGUUGGAAUUUUGAGCAGCUCAUUGACAACCGACAACUAGUUAUUAUACAUUUUUGAGCAUCCUCUUUUCCGUUAAUUAAAAGGGAAAAAAGGGCUUGGUCUCAAGGGCGAUAUCAUCUAUCCGACAAUGUAAACGCUAAUCGUUUAAGAAGUUCUGUACUCUAUACCAGCCCUCCCUUUCCACCCUUGAUUGAUGGUGAUAGAUGAAAAAAGAUGGAUAGCGUUAAUUGUUGCAUUUAAACGAUUAGAGGUUGGCCUCAAGUAACAAGUGUUCAUCUUUGAAACCGGAAUAAUGCCGCCCAGAAAUUCAAAAUCCAAUUUUGGCGAGUUUUCCAGAAGGAUUUUCAUCAAUCUGAGCGAAUUUUUUUUUUUAUGUGUUAUGAUGGUCCAGAAUUUCCAGCUAAAUCUAAACGGUGGUGGGUCUUAUAUAAAUAUCACGCACAGGGCACAAGGUGAUUUUUGGGUCGUCGAGUCAACAAGGCCAUCGAUAUCAACAUUUAUCUCUGACGGAUCGGACACCCAACCCAAUCAACUAUUCCGGUCGGAGAGUGUUGCGGGCACGUUAACAGCGAAUUCAGCGAAUAAAUCAAUAGAAACGACGGCGACGAAUUUUUCAGACGUGCGAGCCUCGGCCACAUCACAUUCGACGUCGAACUAGAUCUAGCACGUUUGCCGUCCGGUAUUUUCUCCCCUUCACGAAGAAAAAAAAUGUUCAAAGCAUUUCUACACACGUUCGUACAACCACAACAACAACAACCACAUACCGAGCAUACAACAACUGAAAAGGAGGAGGAGGAGGCCGGGUGUUAUGUAGUGCAAACGCACCGAGCCCCAAUUAGUUAGAGGACCUCGUGUAACUUGAUCCGGUUAGGGAGGGUGUGUGGGCUUUUUCGUAUUUCUUUAAUUUCAUUUUCCAACUGGGGAUGAUGAGGAGGAUGGAUGGAUGGAGGGGAAUGAAACAUGUAGGCGGUGUAUAGUACGUACGUGUGUGUUGCGUGUGUUCUCACGGAAAACGCGGUUGGUUAUAUGUUUUGCCCGCAGAUCGUUUUACACGCAAAGUGAAUAUCACUCCCCCCCCCCUUUUUUUCAUGUAAUGCCAUGGAACUAAAAAAAAAAGGUGUCGGAAUCUUCCGUCAUUCCAUUGCCGGCUGUCGGCGGAUCGUGUGCAGUCAAAAACCUCGGCUCAUUUCACUUGCGUUGAGCGCUAGCAUCUCUGUCGCCAACAUCUGUGUCGUCAUCAUCCAGCAGUCCGGAUUAUAAAUUUUUUUUUUUUAAAUCAUGGGCAGUCGGCGGCCGAACGCGGCUCGUGAGCGAAGUCGGGUCCAAAACUUACGUGACGCUUUCCAAUCUUUGCAGUCGGCACUGCCGGCCGUCCCGCCCAGCACCAAACUCUCCAAACUGGACGUCCUCCUCAUGGCGAGCGCCUACAUCGCCCAUCUCGGCCGACUGGUUCAGGUCGACAACGACGGCGGCGACCAGCAGCAACCGCAGCCGCAGCAGCCAACGAAUUUCAAUUCAAACGACGGCGCCACUUUCCACCCCGUCAAGAAAUGGCCAAUGAGGGCUCGACUCUACGCCGGACUGAAUCAUUCCGGUUCGCAUCGGCCACUCCGACCAGACGAAGGUCUACCGACAUCAUCAUUCAGGAGGUAAAACUCAACGAGUUGCCAACCUAACCACAAGGAGGCGGCAAUGCGCACUCGAAUAUAAUGCGCCCAAAAUAAAAAGCGAAAGUUUUCAUUCCAUUGUUUUUUGAAUGAUUCGAUAGAAUUGCGCAACCAAUUGGCAUUGAUUUCGAUGAAUUGUUUUAUUAACUUUUAAAUUUCCCGCUCGUUUAAAUCCCUUUCUCCGCCGUGUAAUUGAAUUCCAACUAACGUCCCGAUUAUGUACGGCUAAUAAAUAAUCAAAAGUCUCUCGAAUGUAUCGCGCGUCGCCAAUCGAAAUACAUCCACGUGUUAUUAAGUGGAAUCCCAUUGCAAGUGACAACUGCGUUGUCCAGCCCCGGUCCAGCUACCACCCCUCGAAGAAAAUAAGUGGGCGGAGAAGUCUAAAUCGAACCCGUUUGGACGGGUGCGAACGGGCACCAACCAGGUCGCCGGCCGUUCGAUUUCAUUCUGAAAGUGUAUAGCGGCCGGCCGGCCGGCCGUCGUCGGCCCGUGUUGUCUGGAAUAUUAUGUGUGUUCUCCCAACAGAAAACAUACAUAUCAACUGGGCUGAUUCAAUUCAGUUUUUUCUUCACCCAAUCACGAAUGUAGAAAUCGUAGUGGCGAACAAUUUUGGGAGCAAGAAUGAAUUCAUCGAAGAAAUCUUAUUUUGUUGUUUUCCGAGAAGAACCAAAACUGCUAGCCGUGAAAAACUGUUUUUGAGAGAGGGGGACACAGUUUAUGUUGUCCGAUUCGAACCAGUUGAAACGGGCCCGAGAGGUGAGAGCGUCCGUCGCCGCCGCAUCACCUUUUCGGCCAGCCAAAAGUGAUGUCAUAAGACACACACACAAAUCAUGACAAGUCUUUUCAUAUGGCAGGGGCCAGCUAGAUCAAACCAACGCGUGAAA